UAUUCUGCCCCACGGGGAAGGAUGAGAAGGUUCGACUCGAGCGUAGCGAGAGAACGUUGCCGCAGGCAACGGCCCGAAGGGCGAGGCGCGUAAGCGCCGAGUCAUCCUUCCCCCACCACCA
rnacentral:sRNA from 1 species